rnacentral:lncRNA from 1 species
CCCCCAUUGCCUCCUCUUCCUCCAAUUCAAUGGAGGAUGGGAAAAUUACAUUCUUCCCCUGAUUUGGAGGAGGAGCUAACACAGCAUCAUAUAGGUGCCAAUUCAUCAAGUCUGCCACCUAGGACUGAUCAGAAUGCUCAACCUGUGAAUCGAAACAUGGCACUGUCAGCUGUAGCUACAGAGAGUACAGCUCUCAGUUGUGGAAACAGUAGAGUUAGGUUUAUUGAUCCAGGUGAUAAACACUCUGUAAAGCCUCACUUCCCAUUGCCAGGUCAAUAUCAUGAGGUGCAGCAGUCUACUUUGCAUGCCAUGAGAGGAGGGGAAACACAGCCUGUUAAUUCUAUCUCAGAUGUAACUUCUCUGGAUAAACCUUCUACUGAUGCUUUGGGUUCAAGUGAAGAACUUAUCCAACCACUGAGUCGAGUUGCUCCAGAAUUUCUUUUAGACGAACAAGGCUCUGAUCAUUUG